UGAACCAGCCAAGUAGCGUGCAGGAAGACGGCCCUAUGGGUUGUAAACUGCUUUUAUAAGGGAAUAAAGUGAGUCUCGUGAGACUUUUUGCAUGUACCUUAUGAAUAAGGACCGGCUAAUUCCGUGCCAGCAGCCGCGGUAAUACGGAAGGUCCGGGCGUUAUCCGGAUUUAUUGGGUUUAAAGGGAGCGUAGGCCGGAGAUUAAGCGUGUUGUGAAAUGUAGACGCUCAACGUCUGCACUGCAGCGCGAACUGGUUUCCUUGAGUACGCACAAAGUGGGCGGAAUUCGUGGUGUAGCGGUGAAAUGCUUAGAUAUCACGAAGAACUCCGAUUGCGAAGGCAGCUCACUGGAGCGCAACUGACGCUGAAGCUCGAAAGUGCGGGUAUCGAACAGGAUUAGAUACCCUGGUAGUCCGCACGGUAAACGAUGGAUGCCCGCUGUUGGUCUGAAUAGGUCAGCGGCCAAGCGAAAGCAUUAAGCAUCCCACCUGGGGAGUACGCCGGCAACGGUGAAACUCAAAGGAAUUGACGGGGGCCCGCACAAGCGGAGGAACAUGUGGUUUAAUUCGAUGAUACGCGAGGAACCUUACCCGGGCUUGAAUUGCAGAGGAAGGAUUUGGAGACAAUGACGCCCUUCGGGGCCUCUGUGAAGGUGCUGCAUGGUUGUCGUCAGCUCGUGCCGUGAGGUGUCGGCUUAAGUGCCAUAACGAGCGCAACCCCUCUCCUUAGUUGCCAUCAGGUUAAGCUGGGCACUCUGGGGACACUGCCACCGUAAGGUGUGAGGAAGGUGGGGAUGACGUCAAAUCAGCACGGCCCUUACGUCCGGGGCUACACACGUGUUACAAUGGCAGGUACAGAGAGACGGUCCCUUGCAAAACGGAUCAAAUCCUUAAAGCCUGUCUCAGUUCGGACUGGGGUCUGCAACCCGACCCCACGAAGCUGGAUUCGCUAGUAAUCGCGCAUCAGCCAUGGCGCGGUGAAUACGUUCCCGGGCCUUGUACACACCGCCCGUCAAGCCAUGAAAGCCGGGGGCGCCUAAAGUCCGUGACCGUAAGGAGCGGCCUAGGGCGAAACUGGUAAUUGGGGCUAAGUCGUAACAAGGUAGCCGUACCGGAAGGUGCGGCUG
rnacentral:rRNA from 1 species